GAUGAACGCUGGCGGCGUGCCUAAUACAUGCAAGUCGAGCGAACAGACGAGGAGCUUGCUCCUCUGACGUUAGCGGCGGACGGGUGAGUAACACGUGGAUAACCUACCUAUAAGACUGGGAUAACUUCGGGAAACCGGAGCUAAUACCGGAUAAUAUAUUGAACCGCAUGGUUCAAUAGUGAAAGACGGUUUUGCUGUCACUUAUAGAUGGAUCCGCGCCGCAUUAGCUAGUUGGUAAGGUAACGGCUUACCAAGGCAACGAUGCGUAGCCGACCUGAGAGGGUGAUCGGCCACACUGGAACUGAGACACGGUCCCGACUCCUACGGGAGGCAGCAGUAGGGAAUCUUCCGCAAUGGGCGAAAGCCUGACGGAGCAACGCCGCGUGAGUGAUGAAGGUCUUCGGAUCGUAAAACUCUGUUAUUAGGGAAGAACAAAUGCGUAAGUAACUAUGCACGUCUUGACGGUACCUAAUCAGAAAGCCACGGCUAACUACGUG
rnacentral:rRNA from 1 species